rnacentral:rRNA from 1 species
UACGUAGGUGGCAAGCGUUGUCCGGAUUUACUGGGCGUAAAGAGCGCGCAGGCGGUCGUUCAAGUCGCGUGUGAAGCCCCCGGCUCAACUGGGGAGGGUCACGCGAUACUGAUCGACUCGAAGGCAGGAGAGGGUAGUGGAAUUCCCGGUGUAGUGGUGAAAUGGCGUAGAUAUCGGGAGGAACACCAGUGGCGAAGGCGGUUACCUGGGGCUUUGCUGACGCUGAUGCGCGAAAGCGUGGGGAGCGAGUCCGG